CAAAAACUCAAGAUCUUUGCAAUUUAACAUCACUAAGGCUUUAAGAUUAGACUGACCAAAUAUGAUGUUGAUCUGAUUAAAUCUCUAGGAUGAGUUAGUUAAAAUACAACGACUGGAAAUGGCAAAAACUGCAAAAAAAUGUUGCAGAGAAAGAGAAAGAGAGUUCAACUUAGUAUGUGCGCGCUGUCUGAGACGUGGUGUUCAGGGCGCGCACUUUGGAUGUUUUGAAUGUUGAAAUUCCCACAUAGUGUAUGGUGUUACCGUUUCAAUGCAUUAUACGACUGACAGACCGCAACGGUUGGAGUUAAAAAUCAUCAUUUGUGUUCUACUGAAGAAACAAAGUCACCUACAUCUUGGAUGCCCUGGGAAACCCCCCUCUUCCCUGGCCUUUUUCUUUCAGGAGCCUCUCAAAACACACGCUGAGGUUUUGUUUGUAAUCACUCUCCUCACUGUAUGGAUAUUCAUAGUCCGUGCCUGUAUCGUGGGCAGAUGACGACCUGUUGGAAAAGCAGCUCUUAGGUGAAUUAGAGCCCAACCUAAACCCUGCUGAACCACAUAAUUAAUGAGCAGAGAGUCUCUCUUCAGCUAUUCCCAGUUCAGCCCGGGUCACCGGCACCCGCGAUUACAGCAGACAAAGUGAUUAAGAGUAUCGCGCAGUGCCUAAUUAAGAACUUUUGAGAGGACGAUGAGAAGCCAGAUGGUGGUUAUGUACUGAAACAAUUUUACUGGCAGAUAGAAAUACUGGCAGAAACUGUUUUGCUUUGCAAAUCCUGUAGGUCAAUCUGGGUGACUGAGUCUGCUAAUUGGGAAAAAUAAAAGUUUUGACUUUAGCAUGCUAUCAAAUAGACAUGCUAAUGCAGACACUCAUAUUUCACAAGAUGGAAUAAAUGAGGCAGAAUGUGGAAUAAAACAGCAAUUUGUUUGAGGUGUUUUGCCAAAUAUAUAAAUGAAACCACCAGCUGUAAAUCAGCUCAGAAAGUAGGUUAAGAUAGGGUAAAACAUUAGGAUAGGGUAAAACACAGCUCAAAACAUUAAUAUCUGUUUUAUUAAUUGUGAAUAUCAAAAUUUGUGAGAUUUAUUACAUGAACUUUUGAGUUUAAAUAAUCAAUUGUUUUGUCAUGGGAUAGUGAUAUGAGAAUUUAUUUUAUGUUGAAUAUAAAAGCUAUUAAAUAUUAUUAAGAUGUCAAUCAUCAACCA